rnacentral:pre_miRNA from 1 species
AAUCUACUCCCUCCGUUUGGAAUUACUUGUCGUAGAAAUAGAUGUAUCUAGAUGUAUUUUAGUUCUAGAUACAUUCAUUUCCGAGACAAGUAAUUCCAAACGGAGGGAGUAUGUU